AUUGAACGCUGGCGGCGUGCCUAACACAUGCAAGUCGAGCGGUAACAGGUGUAGCAAUACAUGCUGACGAGCGGCGAACGGGUGAGUAAUGCUUCGGAAUCUACCCAAUGGUGGGGAAUAACCAGCCGAAAGGUUGGCUAAUACCGCAUACGUCCCACGGGAGAAAGCAGGGGAUCGCAAGACCUUGCGCCAAUGGAUGAGCCGAAGUCGGAUUAGCUAGUUGGAGGGUAACGGCCUACCAAGGCGACGAUCCGUAGCUGGUCUGAGAGGACGACCAGCCACACUGGGACUGAGACACGGCCCAGGACUCCUACGGGAGGCAGCAGUGGGGAAUAUUGGACAAUGGGGGAAACCCUGAUCCAGCGACGCCGCGUGUGUGAAGAAGGCCUGCGGGUUGUAAAGCACUUUUAGU
rnacentral:rRNA from 1 species